UACAGAGGGUGCGAGCGUUAAUCGGAAUUACUGGGCGUAAAGCGUGCGUAGACGGUUACAUAAGUCGGGUGUGAAAGCCCCGGGCUCAACCUGGGAAUUGCAUUCGAGACUGCGUAGCUAGGGUGCGGAAGAGGGAAGCGGAAUUUCCGGUGUAGCGGUGAAAUGUGUAGAGAUCCGGAGGAACACCAGUGGUGCAAACGGCGCCCUGGGUCCGAACUGACGCUGAAGCACGAAAGCGUGGGGAGCGAACGGG
rnacentral:rRNA from 1 species